rnacentral:rRNA from 1 species
AGUCGAACGAUGAACCACUUCGGUGGGGAUUAGUGGCGAACGGGUGAGUAACACGUGGGCAAUCUGCCCUUCACUCUGGGACAAGCCCUGGAAACGGGGUCUAAUACCGGAUACGACUACUGAGGGCAUCCUUGGUGGUGGAAAGCUCCGGCGGUGAAGGAUGAGCCCGCGGCCUAUCAGCUUGUUGGUGAGGUAACGGCUCACCAAGGCGACGACGGGUAGCCGGCCUGAGAGGGCGACCGGCCACACUGGGACUGAGACACGGCCCAGACUCCUACGGGAGGCAGCAGUGGGGAAUAUUGCACAAUGGGCGAAAGCCUGAUGCAGCGACGCCGCGUGAGGGAUGACGGCCUUCGGGUUGUAAACCUCUUUCAGCAGGGAAGAAGCGAAAGUGACGGUACCUGCAGAAGAAGCGCCGGCUAACUACGUGCCAGCAGCCGCGGUAAUACGUAGGGCGCAAGCGUUGUCCGGAAUUAUUGGGCGUAAAGAGCUCGUAGGCGGCUUGUCACGUCGAUUGUGAAAGCCCGAGGCUUAACCUCGGGUCUGCAGUCGAUACGGGCUAGCUAGAGUGUGGUAGGGGAGAUCGGAAUUCCUGGUGUAGCGGUGAAAUGCGCAGAUAUCAGGAGGA